CCCAUCUCUACUAAAAAUAUAAAAAUUUGUUGGGCGUGGUGGCACAUGCCUGUAAUCGCGGGUAUUGAGAAGGCUGAGGCAGGAGAAUCGCCUAAACCUGGGAGGUGGAGGUUACAGUGCGUGGAGAUGGUGCCACUGCACUCCAGCCUGGAUGACAAGAGCAAAACUCCAUCUCAAAAAAAAAAAAAAAAGGAUUUUUUUUUGUUUUUUUUUUUCUGUGUUGACUUACUUUACUUAGCAUAAUAUCUUUCAGGUUCAUGAAUGUUGCAAAUAACAAGAUUGUCUUACUUUAGGGGCUGAAUAGCAUUUCAUUGUUUACAUACACCAUAUUUUCUCUCUUCAUUCACUUCUUGAUGGACACUUAGAUUAAUACCUUAGCUAUUGCGAGUAAUCCACUUCUUUCCUUCUCUUUUGUUUUUGUUUCGUUUUGUGUGAGACGGCGUCUCUUUCUGUCGCCCAAGCUGGAGUGUAGUGGCAUGAUGUCUGCUCACUGUAAACUCUGCCUCCCAGGUUCAAGUGAUUCUCAUGCCUAAGCUUCCUGAGUAGCUGAGAUUACAGGAACACAGAUUUGAUGUUUUAAUAAAAAAAAAAAUACGAUUUCUGCAAAAGGUGCUUAACACGGCCCAGGACGGGCUGUCCGGUGGAGUCAGCCCUAGGACCCCUGAAGGAUGCAUAAAGACAGAGCCGGCUCGCCAGCACGCUCCUGCCAGCACCGGGACCCACUGCGAGCCACUGCGGGGUGUCCUUCAUUAAAAAAAAGUCUGGAUUGUGACAUUGCAAAAGGAGUCUGAAAGCCAUAUGCCCAAUUCCUGAAUCCCUACGUUAGAACUGAGAGUUUAGGCUGGGCACGGUGGCUCACGCCUGUAAUGCCAGUAUUUUGGGAAGCUGAGGCGGGUGGCUCACCUGAGGUCAGGAGUUCAAGACCAGCCUGACCAACAUGAUGAAACCCCGUCUCUAAUAAAAACUUGCCCGUAAUCCCAGCACUUUGGGAGGCCUAGGUGAGCGGAUCACGCGGUCAGGAGAUCGAGACCAUCCUGGCUAACACGGUGAAACACCGUCUCUAAUAAAAAUACAAAAAAAAUUAGCUAUGUGUGGUCAUGGGCGCCUGUAGUCCCGGCUACUUGGGAGGCUGAGGCAGGAGAAUGGUGUGAACCCAGGAGGCGGAGCUUGCAGUAAGCCGAGAUUGCGCCAUUGCACUCUAGCCUGGGCGACAGAGUGAGACUCUGUCUCAAAAAAAAAAAAAAAAAAAAAAAAAAAAAAAAAAAAAUUAGCUGGGCAUGGUGGCGCAUGCCUGUAAUCCCAAUUACUUAGGAGGCUGAGGCAGAAGAAUCGCUUGAACCCGGGAGGUGGAGGUUGCAGUGAGCCGAGAUCGCACCACUGCACUCCAGCCUGGGUGACAGAGCAAGAUUCCAUACCAAAAAAAAAAAAGUGAGUGCUUAGCUGGAGUGAGGAGGAAAUACUGAAUUCCUAGGUCAGGAAUUCAUUUCAUUUUCACCAAGCGCAGAUAUCCCAGCUCCUGAACAAGGCCAAGACCGAGGGUCUGGCACCGGGCACGUGUAAGAAAGGACUGUUUUAAGAACCUUAUUACACAAAGCUCUUAUUUCUGGAUCCACCACUGCUUACAUUUGCACCCAGACACCACUUCUAGGUGCAAGAAGAAAGAUCAGGACAUAGAGAAAAAUGCACACAGAACGAUGAGGGAGGAUGACGAGGGAGAAAGCCUGCAUCAGAGCACUAGCCCAGAUGAUUUCUAACAGCCAACUAGCUUUUUCUAGGGGACACCAAUCAGCCAGUUAGCUCAGCUGAUGUGAAUCUUAUAACCCGAUUAGUUUAGCACAGGUGAUUUUAAACCACCGAUUAACUCAGCUCAGGUGAUUUCAAUCAGCGAAUUAGCUCAGCCCAGGUGAUUUCAAUCAGCUACUUUAUCAACCCAGGUGAAUUCAAUUAGCCAAUUAGCUCAGUCUAGGUGAUCCCAAUCACCUAAUUAUCUAGUGGCUACAGAUUCAUUAAGGUAUGCCCAAAAUUGUAAAUGUAAAUAGCCCAUGAACACCAAGAAGAAAUGCAGGGCCCUAUAUGCUAACCUGGACAGUAUGUAUAACACAGCUUUACUGUCACUUUAUUUACAAGGCCUGAAACCUGAAGCUGAAGCUUUACGUUUAUAUAAACAACACUGUAUGGCUAUGUUUCAUUCUGACAUGCUAUUGAGCAAAAGAGAAGGCAAUUAAUUCUGCAUCUGCAUCCUUAGUAUAUGCUCUAUAUUUUAAAAAGUGGGAAAAUAUUGUAUGUAUACAUUAAUAUUUACAUAGAUACAUUCAUAUAAGUUUGUGAGUGUUUAUGUAGCUACCAUAUGUGUACAUAUAUUCAUACACAUACCUAAGUGUAUAUAAAUAUAUAUAUGAAGCUGUAACAAUUUUUGUAUUUAUAUUCAUACAAAAUAAAGAUGUUGAAUGUGGAAGUAUUGAUAGCUAUUGCUACAAACAGUAAUACAGAACCUUCCAUACCUGUAUAAAAAUAUUUUCUCUAUAGACUACUAUAUCUAGAAUAGUACAGAAAUAGAGGAAUGCUCUAAUAUACAUCCUGCUGCAGUUAAUAUAUUCAAAGGGAGCAUUGGGCUUUGUUUUGCACUUCUGGAAGAUGAAAAUUUACUAAGACCAUUGGAGUUAUUUACUGCCAUGUCAGGGUUGACUUUUCUUUUAUUGUUGUACAUAGGGUCAGAGAUGAACCAGCCCCAGUCCAAAGGUCUAACCUAAAUAUGAGAAUACUUAUUCUUUCUCUUUAGAACUUCCAUCGAACAAGAACUGUAUUUAUUUCCAAAAGUGUGUGAUGUAAAAUCACACUAUUGUCUUUCGGUCUUUGUGGCAGAAGUUGGGUAUUUAUGGUAAUGAAAAAGAAGUCUAUGUCUCUUUUUAGAAGACAGAUGGUGAUGGAAGCAAAUAUAAUGGUACAUGG
rnacentral:lncRNA from 1 species